AUGGGCUAGAUAUGGUAUGUGAAGUCCCCCUCUCUGUUUGCUUUAUUCCAUUUGAUUAUUGAGGUAUCUCUCUCCCUCUGUUUGCGUGCCAAUGCAUGUGUUUGGUCGAAUUUAUCAUUUUGUUUUAGGGUUUUAGCUUCCAGUGUAUCUAACAUUCCUAUGCCAACAUGCCUUGAUGCUACGUGGGGAAGACAUAUAUAGAAGAACUUAAUUUGGAUUGGGAUAGUGUAGUUCAAUUUUGUUUUAAUAAAGUUUUUGUCUAACUCAAAUGAAAUUCUUUGGAAAGUACAUUCUUCCAGUAAUUUAAAAUGCAGCAGCAUACCAACACUCACUUAUUAGUUAAUGGAUUUUAGAAAAUAUCGUGGAGCCUCUACUUUCCAGUCUAAAAUUUUUAUAAAUUAAUUAGCAGGCAUCUGUUUUCUAUUUGAUUGUUAUAUGCUAUGUGAAACAUGUAUCCUUUGUCCCCAUGGACUUCAUAUUUUUAUGAAGCCAUGAAAUAAUGCAGGCCACUUUUUCUUGUCUUUGCAUAUGACUUUCUGGUAAUGGAGUUUGUGCACAUCUGUAGCUGCAAAUCUUUGUAACAAGUAAUUCAGAAUUCAAACAACUUGUUUUGUAAUUCCAAGCACAUUUGCAGUUCAACAAUAAUCUAGAUAGGUUAGUAGUUUACAUAGAUACCAUCUUCCCAAGGACAAAUUAUAGCCUGGUAUAGCUCAUUUCAGUUUUGCACACUUUUGUUACAAGUUUUUCGGGUGAAUGCCGUCCAAGUAUCUAAGCUCAUGUAAAUGUGUUGCUUAAGUGUCUAUUCUGCAUAUCUUUGCCUGAAACUAAACAAGUUUGAGGCAACAGAGAACAGGUUAGUGAUUACAUGCAAGUUACCAUGAUUAAUAGAAUGAGAUGUAGGCUUCUAAUGUAAUUGUUGAUGGAUAAGACUUGCUAUCUGAUUGAGUUGUAGCACUAAAGUUUUGAGGUUUUUUUUUCUAUAAAAAAAAUUCCUUAUAGCCUGUUUGUUAUCAUUAUGGAUCCAGUUGAGUAUUCUUCUAUGGGUGUUAGCUGGUGAGUAAAGCUACAUUGAAAUUCAUGUGUGAUUGUUGCUUUAGUGUCAUGGAUCCUGGAAUUUGUCCCAAUUUAAUCUCAGGACUGCUUCAGUUAAGAGCUUGGCAUUUUAGAGCUUAAACACUCUAAAAGACCAACCAUGUUUUUAUCAUGGCCUUGGACUGUGGUGGGGCUCAGCUUAGGAAUGACAACAGGUAGUGCUUUACCCCUACCUGAACCCAUUUAAUAAUUAUACUAUUUGAACCCAUCUCAAACCUUUUUUUUUUACCUGUCCCAAAUCUAAUUAAUACUAGAAUGCUUUUCAAACCAGUAAUAGAUAAUUAUUUUUAAACUUAUAAUAUUUCUAAACCCAUUUAUAAAUAUUCGUAACUUCUAUAAUCAGAUUGAAUAGGCUAAGGUACACCAAUAUGCUUUAGUCAUUGCCAUCCCUGUCUAACUAGAAGGUAGAGGUUGUAAUUAGAGCAUCCAGGAGAUGUUUCUUUAAUAAUAUCCUCAUCAGGGUUGUAAUGUCUCCUUUAAAUUGGAUGAAGCUAUAUUUUGGUUUUUCAAGCAUUAUUCUCUUAAAGCAAAAAAAGGUGUUUUAUCCACUUUAUUUUUGUUUCCAAGCAAAUAGGAGAUCUUCUAUUUUGGCCUGUUAGUGUCAGUGCCCUGGAAAUUAGAUUGUUAUCUGCUGAUUACUUAUUUCUUUGUCAGCUCAUUUAAUUCUUCACCUAGGCUCCUACGCAUCCCUUCAUCCCCUACAGGAAUGCAUUUGGGGCAAAAUUUUAACCCUUCUUUUCACUUUGUUAACCAACUCUUCUAUGUUAACUUUUUUAUACCACAUUAGGCGUGAACUGUUAAUAUUCCCUGUCAUGCUACCCUAUAUGCCAAACACAAUUUAAAAAGUGUGAAAUGCUGUAUUCCUUUCAUGUGACAUUUCAUCCCCUUAACCACCGUUUCUAAUACACCUCUAUAGGGAAAAUCUUCAAAAGGAAUGUUAGCAAUUGCAC
rnacentral:misc_RNA from 1 species